UUUGCAGUCCUAUGGCCCCGCUGCCCAUGUCUGGGGUGUGUGGGGUGCAGGAAACUCAGGCUGCCCCGCGUUCCUCGGAGGGAGGCUGUGGGAGCGAACACUGAAUGGAUAAAAUGGGUAAACUGGAUUCAGGUGGCAGUUGUGGAGGAAACAGGGUGACUGGAGAGGACAACUUUUUUUGCAUGACCAAAGACCUCUCUAACAUAUGAGCCAGAGGGGAGGCAAGUGGCCUGAGGGACCGACCUACUGCUCGCUUCUUGUGCAGCCACGUGUGAGUCUUUCCACCAAGCAGUGCCUCAAUUUCCCUGUGUAUAAAGGUCUCCUGGAGAAAACUGUUGUUCAGGAGGGAGCCUGCUGCUCCAAGCUUGACCUUGGCUCUUCAGAGCUGCACUGUAGGACCUGAACAAGUGCCAUCUCUAUUGCUUAUCCCCCUGGAAAGAAACACAGCAAGAGGGGGAAUGAAUGAAGCCGGAGGCUCCUGCCCAACAUGGCAGCUGCGGCAGCUGCCAGGAAGCCGGGCAGAAGUAAAUCUGCCACUCGCCGAGGUGAAGGGUGCAUGAGAGAAGGACACUAUUGUUUCUGCCCCGAAGGAGAGAAGAAAAGGAAGAGAAGGAAAAUGCAGU